UAGUCCAUGCCGUAAACGUUGGGUACUAGAUGUGGGGUCUUAUUAAUGGAUUCCGUGUCGAAGCUAACGCAUUAAGUACCCCGCCUGGGGAGUACGGCCGCAAGGCUAAAACUCAAAGGAAUUGACGGGGGCCCGCACAAGCGGCGGAGCAUGUGGUUUAAUUCGAUGAUACGCGAGGAACCUUACCUAGACUAGAAUGCUUAAUGACAUAUUUGGGAAACCAGAUUUUCCUUCGGGACAUUUUGCAAGGUGCUGCAUGGUUGUCGUCAGCUCGUGCCGUGAGAUGUUGGGUUAAGUCCCGCAACGAGCGCAACCCUUGUCUUUAGUUGCCAUCAUUUAGUUGGGCACUCUAGAGAAACUGCCGGUGACAAACCGGAGGAAGGUAAGGAUGACGUCAAGUCAGCAUGCCCCUUACGCUCUGGGCUACACACGUGCUACAAUGGUCGUGACAAAGAGUUGCUAGUCUGCGAAGGCAAGCCAAUCUCAUAAACGCGGCCUUAGUUCGGAUUGC
rnacentral:rRNA from 1 species